rnacentral:rRNA from 1 species
GCUUAGCCCUAWACACAAAUAAUUACACAAACAAAAUUAUUCGCCAGAGUACUACUAGCAACAGCCUAAAACUCAAAGGACUUGGCGGUGCUUUACACCCUUCUAGAGGAGCCUGUUCUAUAAUCGAUAAACCCCGAUAAACCUUACCAAUCCUUGCUAAUACAGUCUAUAUACCGCCAUCUUCAGCAAACCCUAAAAAGGAACAAAAGUAAGCAAAACCAUACCACAUAAAAACGUUAGGUCAAGGUGUAACCUAUGGAAUGGGAAGAAAUGGGCUACAUUUUCUACCUUAAGAAAACCCAAUACGAAAGUUAUUAUGAAACUAAUAACCAAAGGAGGAUUUAGUAGUAAAUUAAGAAUAGAGUGCUUAGUUGAAUUAGGCCAUGGAG